AGAUGGAUUCUGAGACACGAAUCCAGGCCCUACGGGGCGCAGCAGGCGCGAAAACUUUACAAUGCGAGAAAUCGUGAUAAGGGAACCCCGAGUGCCCGUAAAUUCGGGCUGUCCGCCAGUGCAAAUAGCUGGUGAAGAAAGGGCCGGGCAAGACCGGUGCCAGCCGCCGCGGUAAUACCGGCGGCUCGAGUGGUGGCCACUAUUACUGGGCUUAAAGCGUCCGUAGCUUGAUUGUUAAGUCUCUUGGGAAAUCCACCGGCUCAACCGAUGGGCGUUCAGGAGAAACUGGCAAUCUAGGGACCGGGAGAGGUGAGAGGUACUCCAGGGGUAGGAGUGAAAUCCUGUAAUCCUUGGGGGACCACCUGUGGCGAAGGCGUCUCACUAGAACGGCUCCGACAGUGAGGGACGAAAGCUGGGGGAGCAAACCGGAUUAGAUACCCGGGUAGUCCCAGCUGUAAACGAUGCGCGUUAGGUGUAUCGGUGACCACGAGUCAUCGAGGUGCCGAAGGGAAACCGUGAAACGU
rnacentral:rRNA from 1 species